GACGAACGCUGGCGGCGCGCCUAACACAUGCAAGUCGAACGGAGUCAAGAGGAGCUUGCUUUUCUUGGCUUAGUGGCGAACGGGUGAGUAACGCGUGAGUAACCUGCCCUGGAGUGGGGGACAACAGUUGGAAACGACUGCUAAUACCGCAUAAGCCCACGGAUCCGCAUGGAUCUGCGGGAAAAGGAUUUAUUCGCUUCAGGAUGGACUCGCGUCCAAUUAGCUGGUUGGGGAGGUAACGGCCCCCCAAGGCGACGAUUGGUAGCCGGACUGAGAGGUUGAACGGCCACAUUGGGACUGAGACACGGCCCAGACUCCUACGGGAGGCAGCAGUGGGGGAUAUUGCACAAUGGGGGAAACCCUGAUGCAGCGACGCCGCGUGGAGGAAGAAGGUUUUCGGAUUGUAAACUCCUGUCGUUAGGGACGAUAAUGACGGUACCUAACAAGAAAGCACCGGCUAACUACGUG
rnacentral:rRNA from 1 species